rnacentral:rRNA from 1 species
UCGGGCGUGGAUAAUAAUCGGGUAUUAAGUUGUCUACCGAAGCAGUGGGAUCAUUGAUAUGAUCGGUAGGGGAGCAUUCCAGUCGGCGUCGAAGGCGUACCGUGAGGUAUUCUGGAGCGUCUGGAAAAGCAAAUGUAGGUAUAAGUAACGAUAAAGGGGGCGGGAAACCCCCUCGCCGAAAGACUAAGGUUUCCUGAUCAACGCUAAUCGGAUCAGGGUCAGUCGGGUCCUAAGGCUCAGCCGAACGGCGAUGCCGAUGGCAGAAACGGUUAAUAUUCCGUUACUACCUUCAGGAGUGACGUGGAGACGCAGUAGUGACAGUGCCGCCAUCUGACGGAAUAGAUGGUUGAAGGGUGUAGGAGUCGAUCAUGGCAGGCAAAUCCACCAUGAGAUCCGAACCUGAUAGUAUGCCGCGUCCUUCGGGACAAGGCAAUAGUGCGCGUAAGCAUGCUGCCGAGAAAAUCCGCUAAACUUAAUCCUGCAGGUACCCGUACCGCAAACGGACACACGUAGUCGGGAUGAAUAUUCUAAGGCGCUUGAGUGAUUCACGGUUAAGGAACUAGGCAAACUGACCCUGUAACUUCGGGAUAAAGGGUCCCUACCCUUUUAUGGGAGGGCGCAGAGAAUCGGUCCAGGCAACUGUUUAACAAAAACACAGGGCUGUGCCAAAUCGAAAGAUCCAGUAUACAGCCUGACACCUGCCCGGUGCUGGAAGGUUAAGAGGAGAUGUCAUCGAUAAGAGAAGCGUUGAAUUGAAGCCCCAGUAAACGGCGGCCGUAACUAUAACGGUCCUAAGGUAGCGAAAUUCCUUGUCGGGUAAGUUCCGACCUGCACGAAUGGUGUAAUGAUCUGGACGCUGUCUCAACCGUGAGCUCAGUGAAAUUGUAGUAUCGGUGAAGAUGCCGAUUACCCGCGAUGGGACGAAAAGACCCCGUGAACCUUUACUAUAGCUUAUCAUUGAAUCUGGGCACGUGAUGUGUAGGAUAGGUCGGAGGCUUUGAAGCAGGUACGCCAGUAUUUGUGGAGCCGCUGUUGAAAUACGACCCUUUAUUUGUUUGGAUUCUAACCCGUGGAUACGGGGACAUUGAUUGGUGGGUAGUUUGACUGGGGUGGUCGCCUCCAAAAGCGUAACGGAGGCUUCUAAAGGUGCCCUCCGGCCGAUUGGUAACCGGCCUUAGAGUGUAAUGGCAUAAGGGCGCUUGACUGGGAGACUGACAAGUCGAUCAGGUAGGAAACUAGAGCAUAGUGAUCCGGUGUUUCCGUAUGGA